GAUGAACGCUGGCGGCGUGCCUAACACAUGCAAGUCGAGCGAACGGACGAGAAGCUUGCUUUUCUGAUGUUAGCGGCGGACGGGCGAGUAACACGUGGAUCACCUACCUCUAUGUCUGGGAUAAUUUCGGGAAACAGGAGAUAAUACUAGAUAAUAUUUUGAACCGCAUGGUUCAAAGGUGAAAGACGGCCUUGCUGUCACUUAUAGAUGGAUCCGCGCUGCAUUAGCUAGUUGGUAAGGUAACGGCUUACCAAGGCAACGAUGCAUAGCCGACCUGAGAGGGUGAUCGGCCACACUGGAACUGAGACACGGUCCAGACUCCUACGGGAGGCAGCAGUAGGGAAUCUUCCGCAAUGGGCGAAAGCCUGACGGAGCAACGCCGCGUGAGUGAUGAAGGUCUUCGGAUCGUAAAACUCUGUUAUUGGGGAAGAACAGAUGUGGAAGUAACUGUGCACAUCUUGACGGUACCUAAUCAGAAAGCCACGGCUAACUACGUG
rnacentral:rRNA from 1 species